rnacentral:rRNA from 1 species
UACAGGGGGUGCAACCGUUGCUCGGAAUUACUGGGCGUAAAGGGCUCGUAGGCGGCCAACUAAGUCGGAUGUGAAAUCCCCAGGCUCAACUUGGGAACUGCAUCCGAUACUGGAUGGCUUGAAUUCGGGAGAGGGAUGCAGAAUUCCAGGUGUAGCGGUGAAAUGCGUAGAUAUCUGGAGGAAUACCGGUGGCGAAGGCGGCAUCCUGGACCGACACUGACGCUCAUGCACGAAAGCGUGGGGAGCAAACAGG